CCUACGGGAGGCAGCAGUGAGGAAUAUUGGUCAAUGGACGAGAGUCUGAACCAGCCAAGUAGCGUGAAGGAUGACUGCCCUAUGGGUUGUAAACUUCUUUUAUAUGGGAAUAAAAUGUUCCACGUGUGGGAUUUUGUAUGUACCAUAUGAAUAAGGAUCGGCUAACUCCGUGCCAGCAGCCGCGGUAAUACGGAGGAUCCGAGCGUUAUCCGGAUUUAUUGGGUUUAAAGGGAGCGUAGGUGGAUUGUUAAGUCAGUUGUGAAAGUUUGCGGCUCAACCGUAAAAUUGCAGUUGAAACUGGCAGUCUUGAGUACAGUAGAGGUGGGCGGAAUUCGUGGUGUAGCGGUGAAAUACUUAGAUAUCACGAAGAACUCCGAGUGCGAAGGGAGUUCACUGGACUGCAACUGACACUGAGGCUCGAAAGUGUGGGUAUCAAACAGGAUUAGAUACCCCGGUAGUC
rnacentral:rRNA from 1 species